rnacentral:lncRNA from 1 species
CUUCAUCUGAGCGAAGUCGUUCAUGAGCUGCAAGUUUUGGAAACAUCGUCAUAUGCCGGAGAAGACAUCAUUUUUGCCAAUUCCUUGUUUCCGAGGUUCCAAUUUAGCCACUUUUUCUGUUGACCCUGCAUGAUAAAAACUUGACUUGUGAAGUCUUCCAGACGAGAGCCCAUCAUGAAAGUUCACAUAAAUUUGAAGGUACACACAUUUUCAUUAAGAUUGGGACUAAAUCGUCAGACGAAGGUAAGCACCACACCAUAUUUUGGUUCUGUUGAGUUCCUCCUCCACAACUGAGAGGCGGAU